rnacentral:tRNA from 1 species
GGGAAGGUGGCUCAGUGGUAGAGUGCUUGCCUUGCAUGCAUGAGGCCCUAGGUUCGAUUUCUCAGUACCA